GAAAUGCGAUAAGUAAUGUGAAUCGCAGAAUUCAGUGAAUCAUCGAAUCUUUGAACGCACCUUGCGCUCCUUGGUAUUCCUUGGAGCAUGCCUGUUUGAGUAUCAUGAAAUCUUCAAAGUAAAUCUUUUGUUAACUCAAUUGGUUUCUACUUUGGUAUUGGAGGUCUUUGCAGCUUCACACCUGCUCCUCUUUGUUCAUUAGCUGGAUCUCAGUGUUAUACUUGGUUCCACUCGGCGUGAUAAGUUAUCUAUCGCUGAGGACACUGUAAAAGGUGGCCAAGGUAAAUGCAGAUGAACCGCUUCUAAUAGUCCAUUGACUUGGACAAUACUUUUAUGAUCUGAUCUCAAAUCAGGUAGGACUACCCGCUGAACUUAAGC
rnacentral:misc_RNA from 1 species